AGCAGUAGCCGCGGUAAAACGAAGGGUGCAAGCGUUACUCGGAAUUACUGGGCGUAAAGCGUGCGUAGGUGGUGGUUUAAGUCCGUUGUGAAAGCCCUGGGCUCAACCUGGGAAUUGCAGUGGAUACUGGAUCACUAGAGUGUGGUAGAGGAUAGUGGAAUUUCCGGUGUAGCAGUGAAAUGCGUAGAGAUCGGAAGGAACAUCUGUGGCGAAGGCGACUAUCUGGGCCAACACUGACACUGAGGCACGAAAGCGUGGGGAGCAAACAGGAUUAGAUACCCGAGUAGUCCCUGUCUCUUAUAC
rnacentral:rRNA from 1 species